CACCGUACCAGGGAUACAACAGGUGAGGCCGUCUGAAUCCUACCAGAAACACCGUACCAGGGAUACAACAGGUGAGGCCGUCUGAAUCCUACCAGAAACACCGUACCAGGGAUACAACAGGUGAGGCCGUCUGAAUCCUACCAGAAACACCGUACCAGGGAUACAACAGGUGAGGCCGUCUGAAUCCUACCAGAAACACCGUACCAGGGAUACAACAGGUGAGGCCGUCUGAAUCCUACCAGAAACACCGUACCAGGGAUACAACAGGUGAGGCCGUCUGAAUCCUACCAGAAACACCGUACCAGGGAUACAACAGGUGAGGCCGUCUGAAUCCUACCAGAAACACCGUACCAGGGAUACAACAGGUGAGGCCGUCUGAAUCCUACCAGAAACACCGUACCAGGGAUACAACAGGUGAGGCCGUCUGAAUCCUACCAGAAACACCGUACCAGGGAUACAACAGGUGAGGCCGUCUGAAUCCUACCAGAAACACCGUACCAGGGUUACAACAGGUGAGGCCGUCUGAAUCCUACCAGAAACACCGUACCAGGAAUACAACAGGUGAGUUUUGUAUUUGUAUUUAUUAUGGAUCCUUAUUAGUUCCUGCCAAAGCAGCAGCUACCCUUCGUGGGGUCUGGCAGAAUUAAGGCGUUUAUACAAUUUUAAAAACAUUACAAUACAUUCAUUACAUAAUGCACAACACACUAAGUGUGUGGCCCACAGGCCCAAAAAUCUGAUUAUAUUGCUUGCAUCAGUUGCCUGAUGUGGAAUAUAGUCAUGGAUCUAUGUAGGACUGUGCACCUCCCAUAGUCUGUUCUGGACUUGGGGAUCGUGAAGAGGCCUCUGGUGGCAUGUCUUGUGGGGUAUGUACUGUAUGGGUGUCAGAGCUGUGUGCUAGUAGUUUAAACAGACAGCUUGGUGUAUUUAUCUUGUAAACACUUCUUACGAAAACAAGUAGUGAUGAAAUCAAUCUCUCCUUCACUUUGAGCCAGGAGAGAUUGACAUGCAUGUCAUUAAUGUUAGCUCUCUGUGUAUAUUUAAGGGCCAGCUGUG